rnacentral:rRNA from 1 species
UACGAGUGCCCCGAGCGUUAUCCGGAAUCAUUGGGCGUAAAGGGUGUGUAGGUGGUUGUGUUAGUCAACUGUUAAAACCUGGGGCUUAACCCCAGAUGUGCGGUUGAAACGGCACGACUAGAGGAUGGCAGGGAUGUAUGGAACUCAUGGAGUAGGGGUGAAAUCCGUUGAUAUCAUGGGGAACACCAAAAGCGAAGGCAGUACAUUGGGCCACUCCUGACACUGAAACACGAAAGCGUGGGUAGCGAAUGGG